rnacentral:rRNA from 1 species
UACGUAGGUGGCAAGCGUUGUCCGGAUUUACUGGGCGUAAAGAGCGCGCAGGCGGUCGUUCAAGUCGCGUGUGAAAGCCCCCGGCUCAACUGGGGAGGGUCACGCGAUACUGAUCGACUCGAAGGCAGGAGAGGGUAGUGGAAUUCCCGGUGUAGUGGUGAAAUGCGCAGAUAUCGGGAAGAACACCCGUGGCUAAGGCGGGCUACUCUAGUACGGUACUGACGCUGAGACGCGAAAGCGUGGGGAGCGAACAGGA